rnacentral:rRNA from 1 species
UACGAAGGGUGCUAGCGUUGUUCGGAUUUACUGGGCGUAAAGCGCACGUAGGCGGAUCGUUAAGUCGGGGGUGAAAUCCUGGAGCUCAACUCCAGAACUGCCUUCGAUACUGGCGAUCUCGAGUCCGGAAGAGGUGAGUGGAACUCCUAGUGUAGAGGUGGAAUUCGUAGAUAUUAGGAAGAACACCAGUGGCGAAGGCGGCUCACUGGUCCGGUACUGACGCUGAGGUGCGAAAGCGUGGGGAGCAAACAGG